UAGCGAAGGGGGCUAGCGUUGCUCGGAAUCACUGGGCGUAAAGGGUGCGUAGGCGGGUCUUUUAAGUCAGGGGUGAAAUCCUGGAGCUCAACUCCAGAACUGCCUUUGAUACUGAGGAUCUUGAGUCGGGAGAGGUGGAGUGGAACUGCGAGUGUAGAGGUGAAAUUCGUAGAUAUUCGCAAGAACACCAGUGGCGAAGGCGGCUCACUGGCCCGGUACUGACGCUGAG
rnacentral:rRNA from 1 species